UUAUGGAUGUAGUAAAAGGAGCAGAAGCGGUGCUCCUGCCAGGAAGAUAAGCUUUGUCUCCUCAAUGGUUUCUGGUCCGAAGGUGGCUCACUCAGCCUUAGGCAUGGAGGGGGGCUUACAUCUCCUGAAACCAGACAGGGAGGUUCUCAACAACAGAAACAG